rnacentral:rRNA from 1 species
ACCUUCGGGCCUCUUGCCAUCGGAUGUGCCCAGAUGGGAUUAGCUAGUAGGUGGGGUAAAGGCUCACCUAGGCGACGAUCCCUAGCUGGUCUGAGAGGAUGACCAGCCACACUGGAACUGAGACACGGUCCAGACUCCUACGGGAGGCAGCAGUGGGGAAUAUUGCACAAUGGGCGCAAGCCUGAUGCAGCCAUGCCGCGUGUAUGAAGAAGGCCUUCGGGUUGUAAAGUACUUUCAGCGGGGAGGAAGGGAGUAAAGUUAAUACCUUUGCUCAUUGACGUUACCCGCAGAAGAAGCACCGGCUAACUCCGUGCCAGCAGCCGCGGUAAUACGGAGGGUGCAAGCGUUAAUCGGAAUUACUGGGCGUAAAGCGCACGCAGGCGGUUUGUUAAGUCAGAUGUGAAAUCCCCGGGCUCAACCUGGGAACUGCAUCUGAUACUGGCAAGCUUGAGU